GACGAACGCUGGCGGCGUGCUUAACACAUGCAAGUCGAACGGAAAGGCCCUGCUUUUGUGGGGUGCUCGAGUGGCGAACGGGUGAGUAACACGUGAGUAACCUGCCCUUGACUUUGGGAUAACUUCAGGAAACUGUGGCUAAUACCGGAUAGGAGCUCCUGCUGCAUGGUGGGGUGGGGAAAGUUUCGGCGGUUGGGGAUGGACUCGCGGCUUAUCAGCUUGUUGGUGGGGUAGUGGCUUACCAAGGCUUUGACGGGUAGCCGGCCUGAGAGGGUGACCGGCCACAUUGGGACUGAGAUACGGCCCAGACUCCUACGGGAGGCAGCAGUGGGGAAUAUUGCACAAUGGGCGGAAGCCUGAUGCAGCAACGCCGCGUGCGGGAUGACGGCCUUCGGGUUGUAAACCGCUUUCGCCUGUGACGAAGCGUGAGUGACGGUAAUGGGUAAAGAAGCACCGGCUAACUACGUG
rnacentral:rRNA from 1 species